GGGCUUGUGGCCCAGUGGUAGAGCACUUGCCUAGUAUGCAUGAUGCACUGGGUUCGAUCCCUGGCACCA
rnacentral:tRNA from 1 species